rnacentral:rRNA from 1 species
UGGGUUGUUGCUGGCUUUUCGGAGCAUGUGCACACCUAGCACCAUUUUUACCACCUGUGCACAUUUUGUAGAUUUGAAACACCUCUUGAGGAAACUCAGUUUGAGGAAUGCUUAUGGGCGCAAGCUUUUAGGCUUUCCUUGCGUUUCAAGUCUAUGUUUUUAUAUACCCCAUAAGAAUGUAAUAGAAUGUCAUUAAUGGGCUUAUGCCUUUAAAUUAAUACAACUUUCAACAACGGAUCUCUUGGCUCUCGCAUCGAUGAAGAACGCAGCGAAAUGCGAUAAGUAAUGUGAAUUGCAGAAUUCAGUGAAUCAUCGAAUCUUUGAACGCACCUUGCGCUCCUUGGUAUUCCGAGGAGCAUGCCUGUUUGAGUGUCAUUAAAUUCUCAACCUUUUCAGCUUUUACAAGUUGGAUUGGCUUGGAUGUGGAGGUUUUUGCAGGCUUCUCAGAAGUCAGCUCCUCUUAAAUGCAUUAGCGGAACCUUUGUGGACCAGCUUUGGUGUGAUAAUUAUCUACGCCAUGGUUGUGAAGCAGCUAUUAUAUGGGGUUCAGCUUCUAACAGUCCAUUGACUUGGACAAUUUCUUGACAUUUUGACCUCAAA